rnacentral:rRNA from 1 species
UACAGAGGGUGCGAGCGUUAAUCGGAAUUACUGGGCGUAAAGCGCACGUAGGUGGCGACGUAAGUCGGGUGUGAAAACCCCGGGCUCAACCUGGGAAUUGCAUUCGAGACUGCAUUGCUGGAGAACGGAAGAGGAGGGCGGAAUUCCCGGUGUAGCGGUGAAAUGCGGAGAUAUCGGGAGGAACAUCAGUGGCGAAGGGGGCCCUCUGGACCAGUACUGACACUCAAGUGCGAAAGCGUGGGGAGCAAACAGG